UAAGACGAACCAUGCAAACGUUAUUCGGAAUUACUGGGCUUAAAGCGUGCGUAGGCGGCUCAGAAAGUUGGGUGUGAAAUGCCUCGGCUCAACCGAGGAAUUGCGCCCAAAACUACUGGGCUUGAGGGAGUUAGAGGUGAGCGGAACUCACGGUGGAGCGGUGAAAUGCGUUGAUAUCGUGAGGAACACCGGAGGCGAAAGCGGCUCACUGGGGCUUCACUGACGCUGAGGCGCGAAAGCUAGGGGAGCAAACGGGA
rnacentral:rRNA from 1 species